GAGAAUCAAAAUACAGUUUCCUCUUGGGGAUGGAUCUGCUUCCACAACUUGCUGCUUCUUUCCCUUGAGCCAAACGCUUAAGUGGUUGUGAGCCUUCAGUGAAGAGGCGGUCUAAAAUGGUAGAAGAAAUUAUUCUUGCAUAUUGGUCAGUCUUGACACCCUUAUACAAAUGAGAUCCUGUAAGACAGCUUUAGAGCUAGAAUAUUUGACCAUCUUAUGAAUAGAAGUCCAAAUAAUUUUUUUUUUUUUUUUUUAGGAAAUAUGUAUUCAUUUAGAAAUUUAUCUGGGUUUUCCAGAGCCCUUCUCUAUGAACAAUGUUUAGGUUUGAUCUGACUUUGAGAUGUGUGGGUUGGAUUUAAGUGAAUAUAUCAAAAUGUGCAAGCCUGCAGCUCUACUGUCAUGAGUGAAUCUUUCUGUGUGAAAUUAGGCCUAGUUGCCCUCUGCAUAAGAGAGCUCCAAAGAGUACAUGUAUCUACUGUUCCACAGACAUAAACAACUUCAAGACAUUUAUCUUGCAUUUCCAGUUCUAUUUCUGUAAUUGCAAAGUAUAUUUGAAGGAGGACUUUGAAAAAUAAGAUAUAAUUACCUCUCCCUGCCUGCUUUCCCUGAAGCUUUUAGAAAAGAUUUGUGCCUGAGAUGUCGGAUCACCAGCAGAUGAAGUUUGGCACAUUUUGAAAUCUUAUUAAAAAUGUAGCAUUUGGCUCUAGGUGGGCUCUGUCUUAACUGCUUUGCUUUAGCUUAAAUGUAAACUUUUUCUAAAUAUAUUUCCAAAAAAUAUGGAGAAAGAAAUGACUUAGUGUGACUUAUUCUUAACAGUUUUUGAGAACAGUUCAUUGUACAGUUAAAGUGCCUGUUGAACUUGAGAGGGAAUCCUAUAUUCAGAAUCAGUUUACUGUAGUGUUUGAUCUUUUGAGAAAUAAGAAAUGUUGUCCUAAACGUUGAAGCAUAGAACCAAACAGUAUACAGUAUAGAAAUAAAUUGGUUGUGAAGAACAAUAUUUUUAAAUUCAGACUUUUCAAAGUAUUUUGGAGAUAUCUGUAGGGGGAGCCUUGCGAACAGAUGAAGAGCACUUUUUUGUUUUCCUGAUAAUUGCAACUACCAGAAGCAGCUAAAACUAGUUUGGAUCAACAUAAUGUCUUAAGUCAGUUAACCAUGAAACAUUGGUUUUAACUAAUGCCUAAAUAUGUAUUAAAUUUACCAGCAUACUUGAAUCUCUUAAUCUCUUACAUAGCCUCUGGGUUACUGCUUCAUGGCUGUUGUGAUUUAUGUUGGAAUGCAUUUCAAUCUUAAAAUAUUCUAAAAAUAAUUGUUCAGAUGAUGCUUAAAUACAUACUUAUGUAGUGAGCCAUUCUCAUUCAGUUCUCUGUCAGAUGACUUUUAAUGUCUUUUUAAUGCUAUGAAUACAUAUCAAACCACUACUCUGCUUGAUCUCUUCUGUAGUGUUCAGUAAUAUGCUUAAUAAUCUGCUACUUUUUAGAAAAUUGAGCCUUAAGUGUGU